GACGAACGCUGGCGGCGUGCUUAACACAUGCAAGUCGAACGGAAAGGCCCCUUUGGGGGUACUCGAGUGGCGAACGGGUGAGUAACACGUGAGUAACCUGCCCUUGACUUCGGGAUAACUUCAGGAAACUGGGGCUAAUACCGGAUAGGAAUCCUUGCUGCAUGGUGGGGGUUGGAAAGCUUCGGCGGUUUUGGAUGGACUCGCGGCUUAUCAGCUUGUUGGUGGGGUAGUGGCUUACCAAGGCUUUGACGGGUAGCCGGCCUGAGAGGGCGACCGGCCACAUUGGGACUGAGAUACGGCCCAGAAUCCUACGGGAGGCAGCAGUGGGGAAUAUUGCACAAUGGGAGGAAGCCUGAGGCAGCAACGCCGCGUGCGGGAUGACGGCCUUCGGGUUGUAAACCGCUUUCAGCAGGGGAGAAGAUUGUGGUGACGGUACCUGCAGAAGAAGCACCGGCUAACUACGUG
rnacentral:rRNA from 1 species